CGAACGUUGGCGGCGUGGAUUAGGCAUGCAAGUCGAACGAAUCCCGGGGGGCAACUCCCGGGGGAAGUGGCGAAAGGGGCAGUAAGGCGUGGGUAACCUACCCCGGGGACGGGCAUAGCCCUCCUAACGGAGGGGUAAUUCCCGGCGAGGUGGCGGGAUCGCAUGGUUCUGCCAUGAAACGAGUUUCGCCUCGGGAGGGGCUCACGUGGUAUUAGCUUGUUGGCGGGGUAACGGCCCACCAAGGCCGAGAUGCCUAGCGGGUGUGAGAGCACGACCCGCGCCACUGGCACUGAGACACUGGCCAGACUCCUACGGGAGGCUGCAGUCGAGGAUCUUCGGCAAUGGGCGCAAGCCUGACCGAGCGACGCCGCGUGUGCGAUGAAGGCCUUCGGGUUGUAAAGCACUGUCGAGGGGGAGGAAGCCGCAAGGUUGACCUAUCCCUGGAGGAAGCACGGGCUAAGUUCGUGCCAGCAGCCGCGGUAAGACGAACCGUGCGAACGUUGUUCGGAUUCACUGGGCUUAAAGGGCGCGUAGGCGGUCGGCCAAGUCUGGGGUGAAAUCUUUCGGCUCAACCGGAAAAGUGCCCCCGAUACUGGCCGGCUAGA
rnacentral:rRNA from 1 species